CCUACGGGAGGCAGCAGUGGGGAAUAUUGGGCAAUGGGCGCAAGCCUGACCCAGCAACGCCGCGUGAAGGAAGAAGGCUUUCGGGUUGUAAACUUCUUUUGUCAGGGAGGAGUAGAAGACGGUACCUGACGAAUAAGCCACGGCUAACUACGUGCCAGCAGCCGCGGUAAUACGUAGGUGGCAAGCGUUGUCCGGAUUUACUGGGUGUAAAGGGCGUGUAGGCGGGUUGACAAGUCAGAGGUGAAAGCCUGCGGCUUAACCGCAGAACUGCAUUUGACACUGUUGAUCUUGAGUACGGGUGAGGCAGAUGGAAUUCCUGGUGUAGCGGUGAAAUGCGUAGAUAUUAGGAGGAACACCAGUGGCGAAGGCGGUCUGCUGGACAGCAACUGACGGUGAGGCGCGAAAGCGUGGGGAGCAAACAGGAUUAGAUACCCGGGUAGUC
rnacentral:rRNA from 1 species